rnacentral:rRNA from 1 species
CAGCAGCCGCGGGAAUACGUAGGUGGCAAGCGUUGUCCGGAAUUAUUGGGCGUAAAGGGCUCGCAGGCGGUUUCUUAAGUCUGAUGUGAAAGCCCCCGGCUCAACCGGGGAGGGUCAUUGGAAACUGGGAAACUUGAGUGCAGAAGAGGAGAGUGGAAUUCCACGUGUAGCGGUGAAAUGCGUAGAGAUGUGGAGGAACACCAGUGGCGAAGGCGACUCCCUGGUCUGUAACUGACGCUGAGGAGCGAAAGCGUGGGGAGCGAACAGGAUUAGAUACCCGAGUAGUCCCUGUCUCUUAUAU